UACAGAGGGUGCGAGCGUUGUCCGGAAUCACUGGGCGUAAAGGGCGCGUAGGUGGCGACCCAAGUCGAUGGUGAAAGCUCGCCGCUCAACGGCGAGUCGGCCACCGAUACUGGGUUGCUCGAGCACUGUAGAGGCUAAUGGAAUUCCGGGUGUAGCGGUGGAAUGCGUAGAGAUGUGGAGGAACACCGAUGGCGAAGGCAGCCCCCUGGGCCAAUACUGACGCUCAUGCACGAAAGCGUGGGGAGCAAACAGG
rnacentral:rRNA from 1 species